CUUGCCUCGUGUAGGGAUUUUGACGGGAGCUGUGUUGACUGUCAUUGCUUCCUUGGUGGGUUUCCACGCAGUCUUCUCCAACUUUGGCCCAAGAACUUUGUCGUUCUUGUAGUCGGUGAUCGAUUCUUUCUUUCCAUGAUGGGCGAUGAUCAACUCCAUGUCAUGGGCGCGAGUGGCCAAUUCCUCGAAAGUCCGUGGUUUAAUGCCUUGAAUGAUGUAUUGCAAACCCCAUUGCAUGCCUUGGAUGCACAUCUCGAUUGAAGAGGUUUCCGAGAGCCUGUCUUUACAGUCGAGGCUUAGAGUGCGCUAUCUGUUGAUGUAGUCAAUGACUGGCUUGUCCUUCCACUGCUUUGUGCUCGUUAGCUCUAGCAUGCUUACAGUGCGACGGGUGUUGUAGAAGCGGUUGAGGAAUUCUCGCUCUAAUUGCUCCCAGCUGUUGAUGGACUCAGGCUCUAGGUCUGUGUACCACUCAAAGGCGUUUCCUUUCAGCGAGUGCACAAACUGCUUGGCGAGGUAAUCCCCUUUCGGUCCCUGCGUUGUUGCAAGUUUCAACAAAGUGGGCAACGUGCUGUUUCGGGUUUCCCUUUCCAUCGAAUUGCAUGAACUUUGGUGGUUGAUAACCCCUCGGCAUCCUUAAGGCAUCAAUUUUCUUUGAAUACGCCUUCGAGUACAACCCGGAGGUAUUUGAGCUCCCUUCGUAUUGUGCCUUGACGGUGUUGGCGAUCAUCUCCUGCAGUUGCUGGAUAGAAAGAGAUCCCAUGAGUGCCGCUGCUUGGUCUGGCUCCGGCUUCACAUCGAUAUUCUCCACCGGAGGCUCCUCUUCUGGGUUAGGGUUAUCGCCGUCCUGUGGCUCCAGUCGGCUGACGAGUGCAGCGAUUUGCAAGUCUUUUUCUUCCAC
rnacentral:lncRNA from 1 species